rnacentral:rRNA from 1 species
CCUACGGGAGGCAGCAGUGAGGAAUAUUGGUCAAUGGGCGGAAGCCUGAACCAGCCAAGUAGCGUGCGGGCUGAAGGCCCUACGGGUCGUAAACCGCUUUUGCACGGGGAUAACACCCUCCACUUGUGGAGUUCUGCAGGUACCGUGCGAAUAAGGGCCGGCUAAUUCCGUGCCAGCAGCCGCGGUAAUCCGGAAGGCCCGAGCGUUAUCCGGAUUCCUUGGGCGUAAAGGGAGCGUAGGCGGGCGUUCCAGUCAGCUGUAAAAUCGCGCGGCUCAACGGAGACCCGCAGUUGAAACUGGAAGCCUGGAGUUCACAACAGGCAGGCGGAAUUAGUGGUGUAGCGGUGAAAGG